rnacentral:rRNA from 1 species
CUUCUGCUGCUUGAUAACUUCGGGAAGGCCACGGGGCUCCGCAUCAACCUGGGAAAAUCUUCAGUAGCACCGAUUAGUUGCAGCGACAUCAAUCUUCAAGACGUGCUACAUGGAUUUGGCGGUCCGGUGGUCGGCUUCCCGCUGUGCUACUUAGGCCUCCCCAUUACCAUCUCCCACGUCCGCCUGGUCCAUCUCCAAUUCAUAGUUGAUCGCAUAAGAGCCAGACUGGCGGCUUGGAAAGGACGCCUCAUGUCAAUAGCAGGCCUAGGGUUCUUGUCCGUUCCAUCCUAA